AUGUUUUGUUCUUUGAUAAUCAUGUCUGAGUAGUUCUCUUGUUGGGUUUAGGGAUUCUCAAUUAGGGAUUUGGAUGAAUUAGUAGAUCGAAAACUCUGUUAGGAUAAUAUAAUUAGAAUUCUUCAUCUUAGAUUA
rnacentral:sRNA from 1 species